CUAGCUUUGCCAAUGACCUCCACUCUUUGUAAUUGUCUCUCUUCACAGAUGCUCUGAACUUGGAAACCUCAUGCCUGAAUAACUUUCCUGUGCACGGCUGGGAUCAGCCUUGUAGACACAGCUCUGGUAGCUGCAAGUUUGAAAGCUGUGACCUGGGACAUGCAUCCACUUCAGAUGUGACAUUGGUGGGGUGCAAGUGGAAAAUAUGUUCUGCUGAUAACCAUACCGAUGCAGACCUUCCUGUUUCCAUUACAAUGAUGGACUCUUCACUUACUGAGAUUGACUGUGCAGAGCCAACACUACCAGCCAGUCUGAUCCCAUCCAG
rnacentral:lncRNA from 1 species